GACAGAGGGUGCAAACGUUGUUCGGAAUUACUGGGCGUAAAGAGGGCGUAGGCGGUUCUUUGUGUCCGCUGUGAAAGCCCCGGGCUUAACCUGGGAAUGGCAGUGGAAACUAGAGAACUUGAAUCUGGCAGAGGGGGGUGGAAUGCCACGUGUAGCAGUGAAAUGCGUAGAUAUGUGGCGGAACACCGAUGGCGAAGGCAGCCCCCUGGGCUGAGAUUGACGCUCAGGCACGAAAGCGUGGGGAGCAAACAGG
rnacentral:rRNA from 1 species